UUUUGUCGUUAGGAUUUGCCCCCUAUAUUGGGGGAGCCGGUUCGCCGGCUAUGGAAAUAAAUGGCCGUCGUAAUAAACCAUUCGGACCCGGGGGCAGCACCCGGCGCCUCCACCAAAGCGCGGAUUUCCCGACCAAAAGGCGGGCUUCGGCGGGGGCGAAACAGGAUCGACGAGGGCGUAAAGGGCUCGCUUUUUCCCGGUAUGGUUCCGCCGUUAUCGGGCUAUGCAAUAGUUGCAAACGACAACUAUGCUCCGGUUGCUCAGGCUGCGUAA
rnacentral:tmRNA from 1 species